AAUGGGCGAAAGCCUGACGCAGCGACGCCGCGUGAGGGACGACGGCCUUCGGGUUGUAAACCUCUUCAGCAGGGACGAAGCGAAAGUGACGGUACCUGCAGAAGAAGCACCGGCCAACUACGUGCCAGCAGCCGCGGUAAUACGUAGGGUGCAAGCGUUGUCCGGAAUUAUUGGGCGUAAAGAGCUCGUAGGCGGUCUGUCACGUCGGAUGUGAAAACUCGGGGCUCAACCCCGAGCCCGCAUACGAUACGGGCAGACUUGAGUUCGGCAGGGGAGACUGGAAUUCCUGGUGUAGCGGUGAAAUGCGCAGAUAUCAGGAGGAACACCGGUGGCGAAGGCGGGUCUCUGGGCCGAUACUGACGCUGAGGAGCGAAAGCGUGGGGAGCGAACAGGAUUAGAUACCCUGGUAGUCCACGCCGUAAACGGUGGGUGCUAGGUGUGGGGAACUUUCCACGUUCUCCGUGCCGCAGCUAACGCAUUAAGCACCCCGCCUGGGGAGUACGGCCGCAAGGACUA
rnacentral:rRNA from 1 species